rnacentral:rRNA from 1 species
AGAAAUCGUUAAGGGCGUAUGGCGGAUGCCUAGGCUUUCAGAGGCGACGAAGGACGUGGUAAGCUGCGAAAAGCUGCGGGGAUUGGCACACACGAAUUGAUCCGCAGAUGUCCGAAUGGGGCAACCCGGCAUAUUGAAGAUAUGUCACCUCGUAAGAGGAGCAAACCCGGAGAACUGAAACAUCUAAGUACCCGGAGGAAAAGAAAUCGAAGAGAUUCCGUAAGUAGUGGCGAGCGAAAGCGGAUUAGCCCAAAAGUCUUUAUAUGUUUAAAAGAAUGUUCUGGAAAGAACAGCCGUAGAGGGUGAUAGCCCCGUAUUUGAAAGGUAUAUUAAGAUGAUAAAUGAGUAGGGCGGGACACGUGAAAUCCUGUCUGAAUAUGGGGGGACCAUCCUCCAAGGCUAAAUACUCGUAAUCGACCGAUAGUGAACCAGUACCGUGAGGGAAAGGCGAAAAGAACCCCGGGAGGGGAGUGAAAUAGAUCCUGAAACCGUAUGCUUACAAAAAGUCGGAGCCUCGAAAGGGGUGACGGCGUACCUUUUGUAUAAUGGGUCAGCGACUUACAUUCAGUGGCAAGCUUAACCGAGUAGGGGAGGCGUAGAGAAAUCGAGUCCGAAUAGGGCGUCCAGUCGCUGGGUGUAGACCCGAAACCAAGUGAUCUAUCCAUGGCCAGGAUGAAGGUGCCGUAACAGGUACUGGAGGUCCGAACCGACUGAUGUUGCAAAAUCAGCGGAUGAGCUGUGGUUAGGGGUGAAAGGCUAAACAAACUUGGAAAUAGCUGGUUCUCUCCGAAAACUAUUUAGGUAGUGCCUCAAGUAUUACCUGCGGGGGUAGAGCACUGUUUUGGCUAGGGGGUCAUGGCGACUUACCAAACCAAGGCAAACUCCGAAUACCGCAGAGUACAGCUUGGGAGACAGAGCACCGGGUGCUAACGUCCGGACUCAAGAGGGAAACAACCCAGACCGCCAGCUAAGGUCCCUAAAAUUGGCUAAGUGGGAAACGAAGUGGGAAGGCUAAAACAGUCAGGAUGUUGGCUUAGAAGCAGCCAUCAUUUAAAGAAAGCGUAAUAGCUCACUGAUCGAGUCGUCCUGCGCGGAAGAUGUAACGGGGCUAAGCCAGUUACCGAAGCUGCGGAUGUGCAAUUUAUUGCACGUGGUAGGAGAGCGUUCUGUAAGCCUGUGAAGGUGUCUGGUAACGGAUGCUGGAGGUAUCAGAAGUGCGAAUGCUGACAUGAGUAGCGUUAAAGGGGGUGAAAAGCCCCCUCGCCGUAAGCGCAAGGUUUCCUACGCAACGUUCAUCGGCGUAGGGUGAGUCGGCCCCUAAGGCGAGGCAGAGAUGCGUAGCUGAUGGGAAACAGGUCAAUAUUCCUGUACCGAUCAAUAGUGCGAUGUGGGGACGGAGAAGGUUAGCUCAGCCAACUGUUGGAAUAGUUGGUUCAAGCCUGUAGUCGUGCCCGGUAGGCAAAUCCGCCGGGCUUAGAUGAGGGGUGAUAACGAGUGUGCUUGCACACGAAGUGAGUGAUACCCUGCUUCCAGGAAAAGCCACUAAGCUUCAGCUAUUGACGACCGUACCGCAAACCGACACUGGUGCGCGAGAUGAGUAUUCUAAGGCGCUUGAGAGAACUCAGGAGAAGGAACUCGGCAAAUUGAUACCGUAACUUCGGGAGAAGGUAUGCCCCUAGUAAGUGAAGUUGAACAAAUGGAGCUAAACGGGGUUGCAAAAAAUCGGUGGCUGCGACUGUUUAAUAAAAACACAGCACUCUGCAAACACGAAAGUGGACGUAUAGGGUGUGACGCCUGCCCGGUGCUGGAAGAUUAAAUGAUGGGGUGCAAGCUCUUGAUUGAAGUCCCAGUAAACGGCGGCCGUAACUAUAACGGUCCUAAGGUAGCGAAAUUCCUUGUC